AAAAUAUGGGCAGAAAAUUGCAAAGGGCAAUCCUUGCCCUCGAGCCUACUAUCGUUGCACAGUAGCUCCAGGAUGCCCAGUCAGGAAACAGGUGCAAAGAUGCCUAGAGGACAUGUCAAUUCUCAUAACAACCUAUGAAGGAACUCACAAUCAUCCACUUCCUGUAGGUGCAACAGCCAUGGCAUCAACUGCUUCAGCAGCUGCUUCCUUCAUGUUAUUGGAUUCUAGCAAUCCUCUAUCUGAUGGGAUUCAUAAUUUCACCCAAUCAUCACUCCCAUAUCGUGGGGGUGGCGCCGGCUCUCAUCACAUGUUUUACCCUUAUUCGUCACCUUUUAGAAGCAUAAACCCUAAUGAUCCUUCUAAAGGGAUUGUUCUUGAUCUUACACACAACAGUACUCAUGACCAUCCUCCACAAACAUUCCCAUUACCUAGCUCAUCAUCACAUCUUUCAGGCCAACCCUUGUUUUCUUGGAUGCAAAACAAGUCAUCAAGUCACCAAAAUAAUGGAAAUAACACUAGUGCUGCUAGCCUUAGGGAUGAAAGAGGUUGGAAAGGUGAAGAUCAAGACAAAUCACUAGCUGAAAAUGUUACUUCUAUUGCAUCUGAUCCAAAAUUCAGGGUUGCUGUUGCAGCUGCUAUCACAUCUCUCAUCAAUAAAGAAAAGGG
rnacentral:misc_RNA from 1 species